UACAUGUAUGAUUGUAAGUCACUUUGUAUAAAAGCAUCUGCUAAAUGACAUAUA
rfam:Salmo salar isolate Sally breed double haploid chromosome ssa12, whole genome shotgun sequence.